UACGGAGGAUGCGAGCGUUAUCCGGAUUUAUUGGGUUUAAAGGGUGCGCAGGCGGGCUUUUAAGUCAGCGGUGAAAUCUCGGGGCUUAACUCCGAAACUGCCGUUGAAACUGGGAGUCUUGAGUAUGGAUGAAGUAGGCGGAAUUCGUUGUGUAGCGGUGACAUGCUUAGAUAUAACGAGGAACUCCGAUUGCGUAGGCAGCUUACUAAGCCAUAACUGACGCUCAAGCACGAAAGCGUGGGGAUCAAACAGGAUUAGAUACCCUGGUAGUCCACGCCGUAAACGAUGAUUACUAGUUGUAUGCGAUAUACCGUAUGUGACUAAGCGAAAGCGAUAAGUAAUCCACCUGGGGAGUACGCCGGCAACGGUGAAACUCAAAGGAAUUGACGGGGGCCCGCACAAGCGGAGGAACAUGUGGUUUAAUUCGAUGAUACGCGAGGAACCUUACCCGGGCUUGAAAUGUACAUGAAUUACGUUGAAAGAUGUAAGCCAGCAAUGGCAUGUAUGUAGGUGCUGCAUGGUUGUCGUCAGCUCGUGCCGUGAGGUGUCGGCUUAAGUGCCAUAACGAGCGCAACCCACAUUGUUAGUUACUAACAGGUCAGGCUGAGGACUCUAACAAGACUGCCGUCGUAAGAUGCGAGGAAGGUGUGGAUGACGUCAAAUCAGCACGGCCCUUACGUCCGGGGCGACACACGUGUUACAAUGGGUGGUACAAAGGGCAGCUACUUGGUGACAAGAUGCUAAUCUCCAAAGCCACUCCCAGUUCGGAUCGGAGUCUGCAACUCGACUCCGUGAAGCUGGAUUCGCUAGUAAUCGCGCAUCAGCCAUGGCGCGGUGAAUACGUUCCCGGGCCUU
rnacentral:rRNA from 1 species